UGCUAAACAGCUAGCCCACCCAUCCAACAACAACAAAUANUUAUAAAUAAACCCAAACACCCUAACAUCCGCUAAACAAACCAUUUUUCCUCCCUAGUCGGGCGACAAAAAAGUAUAACAGGAGCAACAGAAACAGUNCCGCAAGGGAACCCUGAAAGAGAAGUGAAAUAACCCAGUAAAGCCUAAAAAAGCAGAGAUUUAACCUCGUACCUUUUGCAUCAUGAUUUAGCUAGUGAACCCCAAGCAAAACGUGUUUUAGUUUGACAACCCGAAACUAAUGUGAGCUACUCCGAGACAGCCUGUUAGUAGGGCAAACCCGUCUCUGUGGCAAAAGAGUGGGNAGAGCUUCCGAGUAGAGGUUGACAGACCUACCGAACUUAGUUAUAGCUGGUUGCCCGAGUAAUGAAUAGAAGUUCAGCCUCCCAGAUUCUUUAUUUCACCCCCGCCUANCUCGCUCUAAUGAAGANAANCCAGGAGAGUUAGUCUAUAGGUAGGUCAAAGGGGGGUACA
rnacentral:rRNA from 1 species